rnacentral:rRNA from 1 species
AAAUUGAAGAGUUUGAUCAUGGCUCAGAUUGAACGCUGGCGGCAGGCCUAACACAUGCAAGUCGAACGGUAGCACAGAGAGCUUGCUCUYGGSUGACGAGUGGCGGACGGGUGAGUAAUGUCUGGGAAACUGCCUGAUGGAGGGGGAUAACUACUGGAAACGGUGGCUAAUACCGCAUAACGUCGCAAGACCAAAGAGGGGGACCUUCGGGCCUCUUGCCAUCAGAUGUGCCCAGAUGGGAUUAGCUUGUUGGUGAGGUAACGGCUCACCAAGGCGACGAUCCCUAGCUGGUCUGAGAGGAUGACCAGCCACACUGGAACUGAGACACGGUCCAGACUCCUA